CAGACACACAAUUAAGAAAAGGGCCUUUCACUGAUUGGUCAGAGGACGUCAAAAAAAGCCAUUUCUGCAACAAGUCAACACUGCCGUCUUCUCUGCGCUGGAUGACCGUCCAUCCACCGCCGGCUGUUUCCAUGUUACAGUACACCUACACAAAUGAAACAAGAGAGCAAAGGAGGGUGGGAAAACAUGCAUAGAGCUCCCAGGAGAUGUUCCUCAUCAGACGGCCUUGUUUCUGCAGGAUCAAAGAGGAGGUCCUGGGCGUAAUGUGGCCCUUAACCUUGGACCUCAGUGUGUGUAAGCUGAUAAUGUGAGGUUGGUGUUCUAUCUGCAGUGCUUCUCUUUUGUUUUGAGGAGGAGACCCCAGGGUGGAGCAGAGAAGGUCUCUCACCUCAGCCAGCCCACACAGCUGAACACACAUGAACACAACCUGGGUAUAAUUAAAGAAGGAGUCCUGACAGAAUGAUUUUCUCCGAGACCAGCUCAUCAUUCAUGCUUCACUGAGAGGCACACACACGCACAAACACACACCUGUUAACCUUUAAAAAUGAUGUGAAAUUAAAAGUCAUUAUG